CCCCGGGGAGCCCGGCGGU
rnacentral:miRNA from 1 species